AUUUACUCUCAAAACUUGAUGUGACCUCACAGAUUGUCCAACUUACAUACUUAACAAAAGGAUCCUUAUCGCAGUAUACCUGACAGGACACUCGUUAAAUAUUUGGGUUGACUACGAUAAAAGACUUAAGCAGCAAAGUUUGCAAAGAAGAGAAGAUGCCAAGAGGGGGUCCACCCAAGAGUGAUGGCUUCACAAAGGAGCCCGCUAAGACUCA